AUCCUUUAAAGAAAGCGUAAUAGCUCACUAGUCGAGUCGGCCUGCGCGGAAGAUGUAACGGGGCUCAAACCACACACCGAAGCUGCGGGUGUCACGUAAGUGACGCGGUAGAGGAGCGUUCUGUAAGCCUGUGAAGGUGAGUUGAGAAGCUUGCUGGAGGUAUCAGAAGUGCGAAUGCUGACAUGAGUAACGACAAUGGGUGUGAAAAACACCCACGCCGAAAGACCAAGGGUUCCUGCGCAACGUUAAUCGACGCAGGGUUAGUCGGUUCCUAAGGCGAGGCUGAAAAGCGUAGUCGAUGGGAAACAGGUUAAUAUUCCUGUACUUCUGGUUACUGCGAUGGAGGGACGGAGAAGGCUAGGCCAGCUUGGCGUUGGUUGUCCAAGUUUAAGGUGGUAGGCUGAAAUCUUAGGUAAAUCCGGGGUUUCAAGGCCGAGAGCUGAUGACGAGUCGUCUUUUAGAUGACGAAGUGGUUGAUGCCAUGCUUCCAAGAAAAGCUUCUAAGCUUCAGG
rnacentral:rRNA from 1 species